GAUGAACGCUAGCGGCAGGCCUAAUACAUGCAAGUCGAACGGUGUCUUCGGACAUAGUGGCGCACGGGUGCGUAACACGUAUGCAACCUACCUUACAUUGGGGGAUAGCCUUUCGAAAGGGAGAUUAAUACCGCAUAAGACAGUAGCUGGGCAUCCAGCAGCUGUUAAAGAUUUAUCGAUGUAUGCUGGGCAUGCGUCCAAUUAGCUAGUUGGUGAGGUAACGGCUCACCAAGGCAAUGAUUGGUAGGGGAACUGAGAGGUCAAUCCCCCACACUGGCACUGUGAUACGGGCCAGACUCCUACGGGAGGCAGCAGUAGGGAAUAUUGGGCGAUGGACGCAAGUCUGACCCAGCCAUGCCGCGUGCAGGAUGAAGGCGUUAUGCGUUGUAAACUGCUUUUAUACAGGAAGAAACGACUCUUGCGAGAGGCAUUGACGGUACUGUAUGAAUAAGCACCGGCUAACUCCGUGCCAGCAGCCGCCGUAACAC
rnacentral:rRNA from 1 species